rnacentral:rRNA from 1 species
GACGAACCCUGGCGGCGUGCUUAACACAUGCAAGUCGAACGGAAAGGCCCUGCUUUUGUGGGGUGCUCGAGUGGCGAACGGGUGAGUAACACGUGAGUAACCUGCCCUUGACUUUAGGAUAACUUCAGGAAACUGGGGCUAAUACCGGAUAGGAGCUCCUGCUGCAUGGUGGGGGUUGGAAAGUUUCGGCGGUUGGGGAUGGACUCGCGGCUUAUCAGCUUGUUGGUGGGGUAGUGGCUUACCAAGGCUUUGACGGGUAGCCGGCCUGAGAGGGUGACCGGCCACAUUGGGACUGAGAUACGGCCCAGACUCCUACGGGAGGCAGCAGUGGGGAAUAUUGCACAAUGGGCGGAAGCCUGAUGCAGCAACGCCGCGUGCGGGAUGACGGCCUUCGGGUUGUAAACCGCUUUCGCCUGUGACGAAGCGUGAGUGACGGUAAUGGGUAAAGAAGCACCGGCUAACUACGUG